GAGUUUGAUCCUGGCUCAGGACGAACGCUGGCGGCGCGCCUAACACAUGCAAGUCGAACGAGCGAGAGAGAGCUUGCUUUCUCGAGCGAGUGGCGAACGGGUGAGUAACGCGUGAGGAACCUGCCUCAAAGAGGGGGACAACAGUUGGAAACGACUGCUAAUACCGCAUAAGCCCACAGCUCGGCAUCGAGCAGAGGGAAAAGGAGCAAUCCGCUUUGAGAUGGCCUCGCGUCCGAUUAGCUAGUUGGUGAGGUAAUGGCCACCAAGGCGACGAUCGGUAGCCGGACUGAGAGGUUGAACGGCCACAUUGGGACUGAGACACGGCCCAGACUCCUACGGGAGGCAGCAGUGGGGAAUAUUGCACAAUGGGGGAAACCCUGAUGCAGCGACGCCGCGUGGAGGAAGAAGGUCUUCGGAUUGUAAACUCCUGUUGUUGAGGAAGAUAAUGACGGUGCUCAACAAGGAAGUGACGGCUAACUACGUGCCAGCAGCCGCGGUAAAACGUAGGUCACAAGCGUUGUCCGGAAUUACUGGGUGUAAAGGGAGCGCAGGCGGGAAGACAAGUUGGAAGUGAAAUCUAUGGGCUCAACCCAUAAACUGCUUUCAAAACUGUUUUUCUUGAGUAGUGCAGAGGUAGGCGGAAUUCCCGGUGUAGCGGUGGAAUGCGUAGAUAUCGGGAGGAACACAGUGGCGAAGGCGGCCUACUGGGCACCAACUGACGCUGAGGCUCGAAAGUGUGGGUAGCAAACAGGAUUAGAUACCCUGGUAGUCCACACCGUAAACGAUGAUUACUAGGUGUUGGAGGAUUGACCCCUUCAGUGCCGCAGUUAACACAAUAAGUAAUCCACCUGGGGAGUACGACCGCAAGGUUGAUACUCAAAGGAAUUGACGGGGGCCCGCACAAGCAGUGGAGUAUGUGGUUUAAUUUGACGCAACGCGAAGAACCUUACCAAGUCUUGACAUCCCUUGACGAUGCUGGAAACAGUAUUUCUCUUCGGAGCAAGGAGACAGGUGGUGCAUGGUUGUCGUCAGCUCGUGUCGUGAGAUGUUGGGUUAAGUCCCGCAACGAGCGCAACCCUUACUGUCAGUUACUACGCAAGAGGACUCUGGCAGGACUGCCGUUGACAAAACGGAGGAAGGUGGGGAUGACGUCAAAUCAUCAUGCCCUUUAUGACUUGGGCUACACACGUACUACAAUGGCGUUAAACAAAGAGAAGCAAGACCGCGAGGUGGAGCAAAACUCAGAAACAACGUCCCAGUUCGGACUGCAGGCUGCAACUCGCCUGCACGAAGUCGGAAUUGCUAGUAAUCGUGGAUCAGCAUGCCACGGUGAAUGCGUUCCCGGGCCUUGUACACACCGCCCGUC
rnacentral:rRNA from 1 species